rnacentral:sRNA from 1 species
UCUCCCAGGCCACCUCAUGACAUGGGGCCUCUCACCCCUUGUAUUAGAUUUUGAUGCCACUCUGACAGUCACUAGCAGGGACUAGCAUCCCCUACUUGAGUCUUCUGAUUAAAAUAUAAUUUAGAAGGACCAGCAGAGGUUUAAUGUCAUGAGAUAGGAUCUGAACAGGGUUUUGGACAGGCGAAGAUGGCAAGAAUCUAUAUUAUUCUAAGUAAAAGAUUGAAAAAAAAAAAACAAAACUAGAGUUAGGCCAUAGAUACAAAGAUUCAUGUUUCUUUCGGUGAAACACACAGGCCCAACUAAAGUCUGUCACUUCUCCCUCCACCCCAUGGGUUACUUCCUCUUUAUUAUUUUUAUGAAAAAAAAAAAAACAGCCCAGGACUUUUGCCAGCAGACAUUGCUGGAAUGUUACAUGAAAUGAGUUCUAGGCAGCCUCAGAUAUCAACAGAUGCAUGUGCAGUUUUCAUCAAGUGAGGAGCCGUGACUGUCUGACAAGGUCCGUCCUAGAAGCAGGCUCUUAAGCGAAGAUGAGCACAGCUAAAAGGGGCUCCGGAGGCAAAUGAGAGAUCUGUGGAAUAUGCUGUGCAAAAUGUUUAAUGGAAAAAGCUUCGUAUGAAAGACAGAAAUGCCAGAUCCUAGCUGCAACCUUAAGGUCUCCAAAGAAGACUGUUGGGGACAUACACGUAUUAUGAUAAUGUUAACCACUUCCCCAAAGCCUCGCCUGUGGCCAAGGCCUUGCACAAACUGCGGUCACUAUUGGGUUGACUGCUCUGCUCUGCCUAAGUCAAGGUAGGUCAAUUUCCCCAAGUUCCCCAAACACAGGAAAACCUCUCAGACUUUUCAGGUCUGGCUGCCAAAGACUUGUGCUCUCCUACAGCAGCAUAAGCUGCGGUGUGGUUCUGUGUGAUAGUCGAAGACUGACAUCAGCCUCUAAUAAAAGCACCCCUGGAGCCUAGAGUCCCACUGAGCUGGUAAACAGCAUCCAGAAGUCAGCUGUGACCUACAAACUGACCCAAAGGUGAGCUACAUGGGAACUCCAAGUAGUCCUAUAAACCCAGAAAGCCCUGAUUGCUGAUGAAGAAUGUGAACCAUUCCAGCUGAGGUGGCUGCUCCAUUUCCUCGGCUGCCACAGUGAGUCAGAUGCUUCUGAUGAAUACCCCUUUGCCCUAAGCCCUUUCUGGGCUUUGAUCCAGCCUUCUUGGGCCCUGAUGAUGGAGUCCUAAUUUCAGCAGGAAGUACUUAAGAGAAUACAUUGCCCCUUAUCCUCAUCAGAGGCUAGAAUGUUCAAUUCAAAUGAAACUCCUUGUCAAGGGGAACAAAAUGACUAUAUGUAUUGCCUGUUGGCACACCAGGCUCCCUCACUGUUAAAAGAGGUACCUGUUGAAACCAAAUAGAGCAAUGUCUAUCAACAGCUAGAUACGUUAGCUAAAAUACUUCUACAAUAUGAGUAGGCACUGACCUGCUCUAUGCAAAGAACAAGGAGGAUGACUUGAAGAAACAUUUAUUCUGUGCUAUCCAAUCAGACUGCAUUAAAGAGACCCUAGCCGUGAUACAAAUUUUGUCUCUUGCCAAAUAGAAAGUGCUGAGCGUUGGGGGUUGGUCUGGAUAUUCAAAUGCUAAAUACUGGUCCCCAAGAUCUGGCUGCAGUCCCAGUGAGCAAAUUCUCAUGCACAGCAAAUAAUGUUGUAUAAACUCUGCUCACCAAGCUUCUCUGAGUGGUUAAAUAAAAAUGGCUGCAGCCAACUACUUGGGGGAAUAGAGGUAGGCAGUGUUUCCAUUACCCGGCUGGAGGUCGUAGGUAGGGACCCUGGGAGAGAAGGACGAGGAGGAAGAGGAGAGAAGAGGAGGCUGCUGUGAGUGGAGGUAGACCAUGAGCAAGUGGCCAGGAGAGGAGCAUCCUGAGGACAGGCUGAUGGAGCAGAAAAGCAUUCUGGGGGAGACAAACAGCAGGUAACUUGGGAAUUAGCCAGUCAAGUGUAUAUAAAAACAGAUUAGGAAUAAUCACCCCGUAAUCGGGUUAAGCUAAUUAAAUAGACCGAUAGUACUCAGUCCUGAUUACUGUGUGUGUUUGUGUGUG